UACGUAGGGUACGAGCGUUGUCCGGAAUUACUGGGUGUAAAGGGUGCGCAGGCGGUCUUGUGCGUCAGAAGUGAAAUAUCACGGCUUAACCGUGAGGGUGCUUUUGAAACGGCGAGACUUGAGUACGGGGAGAGGAUGAUGGAAUUCCUGGUGUAGCAGUGAAAUGCGUAGAUAUCAGGAGGAACACCGGUGGCGAAGGCGGUCAUCUGGCCCGGUACUGACGCUCAGGCACGAAAGUGUGGGUAGCAAACAGG
rnacentral:rRNA from 1 species